GACGAACGCUGGCGGCGUGCCUAAUACAUGCAAGUCGAACGAGAGCGACCGGUGCUUGCACUGGUCAAUCUAGUGGCGAACGGGUGAGUAACACGUGGGUAACCUGCCCAUCAGAGGGGGAUAACAUCCGGAAACGGAUGCUAAAACCGCAUAGGUCUUCGAGCCGCAUGGCUUGAAGAGGAAAAGAGGCGCAAGCUUCUGCUGAUGGAUGGACCCGCGGUGCAUUAGCUAGUUGGUGAGGUAACGGCUCACCAAGGCCGUGAUGCAUAGCCGACCUGAGAGGGUGAUCGGCCACAUUGGGACUGAGACACGGCCCAAACUCCUACGGGAGGCAGCAGUAGGGAAUCUUCCGCAAUGGACGCAAGUCUGACGGAGCAACGCCGCGUGAGUGAAGAAGGUUUUCGGAUCGUAAAACUCUGUUGUUAGAGAAGAACAAGUGCUAGAGUAACUGUUAGCGCCUUGACGGUAUCUAACCAGAAAGCCACGGCUAUCUACGUG
rnacentral:rRNA from 1 species